rnacentral:rRNA from 1 species
CCUACGGGAGGCAGCAGUAGGGAAUAUUGGGCAAUGGAGGCAACUCUGACCCAGCCAUGCCGCGUGCAGGAAGACGGCGUUAUGCGUUGUAAACUGCUUUUAUAUAGGAAGAAAUAGUCCUUGCGAGGAAAGUUGACGGUACUAUAUGAAUAAGCACCGGCUAACUCCGUGCCAGCAGCCGCGGUAAUACGGAGGGUGCAAGCGUUGUCCGGAUUUAUUGGGUUUAAAGGGUGCGUAGGCGGUUUAUUAAGUCAGUGGUGAAAGACGGUCGCUCAACGAUUGCAGUGCCAUUGAUACUGGUAGACUUGAGUGGGAUUGAGGUAGCUGGAAUGGAUAGUGUAGCGGUGAAAUGCAUAGAUAUUAUCCAGAACACCAAUUGCGUAGGCAAGUUACUAAGUCUCAACUGACGCUGAGGCACGAAAGUGUGGGUAUCAAACAGGAUUAGAUACCCUGGUAGUCCACACUGUAAACGAUGAUAACUAACUGUUGGCUUUCGGGUCAGUGGUACAGAGAAAUCGUUAAGUUAUCCACCUGGGGAGUACGCCGGCAACGGUUGAAACUCAAAUUGAAUUGACGG